UACGUAGGGAGCGAGCGUUGUCCGGAAUCAUUGGGCGUAAAGAGCGUGUAGGCGGCCCGGUAAGUCCGCUGUGAAAGUCCAGGGCUCAACCCUGGAAAGCCGGUGGAUACUGUCGGGCUAGAGUCCGGAAGAGGCGAGUGGAAUUCCUGGUGUAGCGGUGAAAUGCGCAGAUAUCAGGAGGAACACCAAUAGCGAAGGCAGCUCGCUGGGACGGUACUGACGCUGAGACGCGAAAGCGUGGGGAGCAAACAGG
rnacentral:rRNA from 1 species